AGUGAACGCUGGCGGUGUGCCUAACACAUGCAAGUCGAACGGCAGCACAGGAAGAGCGUGCUCUUACGGGUGGCGAGUGGCGGACGGGUGAGGAAUACAUCGGAAUCUACUUUUUCGUGGGUGAUAACGUAGGGAAACUUACGCUAAUACCGCAUACGACCUACGGGUGAAAGCAGGGGAUCUUCGGGCCUUGCGCGAUUGAAAUAGCCGAGGUCGGAUUAGCUAGUUGGUGUGGUAAAGGCCCACCAAGGCAACGAUCCGUAGCUGGGCUGAGAGGAUGAUCAGCCACACUGGAACUGAGACACGGUCCAGACUCCUACGGGAGGCAGCAGUGGGGAAUAUUGGACAAUGGGCGCAAGCCUGACCCAGCCAUACCGCGUGGGUGAAGAAGGCCUUCGGGUUGUAAAGCCCUUUUGUUGGGAAAGAAAAGCAGCAGGUUAAUCCAUCGCUGUUCUGACGGUACCCAAAGAAUAAGCAACGGCUAACUUCGUG
rnacentral:rRNA from 1 species